GUCGUUUGGAUGUGUUUAUAAGGAAAACAAACUGUGUCGACAUGUUGUGGAUUUGUUGGAUUUGGGAUUCACCUUGUUCCACUGACUUCAUGGAUCAUUCCAAGAAGUUUUCCCCAGUCGGGAAUAAUUUGGACUAAGAUGAAGUACAUCAAUAAGAAUCAUUACGGAGCUCGGCAUGGCAAUGAAGAAUUGGCAGAUGCUCGUGUGAGUACCUCAGUUCCUAACAAGCAAGCAGUGGAUGGGGCAGUGGUCACCAUGCUCAUCCAAGACUGCCAGCCACUCACCAUUGUUGAAAAUGAGGGAUUCGGGGAGCUCCCGAAGCUUACCAACUCGCACUUACAUUUGUAUCCUCACCAUCAUCAUCUGCACCCUGUGAAAGAGUUUUUUUUUUUCUCCCAAGGCAAGGAACUGGUGUCUAAGAGGAGAAAUCCCCUUGGAGCAAAGACGCUUCCAAAACUUUUGCUCAUCAAUAAAAAUGCACUAAUUCA